CGCAUCUGUGCAUGCAGCAUAUCAAUAAGCGGAGGAAAAGAAACUAACAAGGAUUCCCCUAGUAACGGCGAGUGAAGCGGGAAGAGCUCAAAUUUGAAAUCUUAAAGGGUUUCCCUUUACGAAUUGUAGUUUAAAGAAGUGUUUUCUGUUGAGGUUUUGGUAAAAGUUCUUUGGAAUAGGACAUCAUAGAGGGUGAGAAUCCCGUAUUUGACCUUUACUUUCAACUUUGUGAUACACUUUCAAAGAGUCGGAUUGUUUGGGAAUGCAGUCCAAAAUGGGUGGUAAAUUUCAUCUAAAGCUAAAUAUUGGCGAGAGACCGAUAGCGAACAAGUACCGUGAGGGAAAGAUGAAAAGAACUUUGAAAAGAGAGUUAAACAGUACGUGAAAUUGUCAAAAGGGAAGCGUUUGACACCAGUGUUGUUUUUCUGAAAAUCAAUUAAAGAACUGUUUAUGCUAAGUUGUUUAGACUUUAUCAGCUAUCUGUUUAGUUUUGAGCUUUUCUUUAAUGCACUUUUCAGUUAACAAGUCAACAUCAAUUUCUUUUGCUGUAAAAAAGCUUGAGGAAGGUGGCUUGAGAUUCGUCUUAAGUGUUUAUAGCCUCUUGCCUAUGCAGUCGGAGAGAUUGAGGUCUGCAGCGUAGAUCCUUCGGGGCUAAAUGCAUUUGUGCUAAGUUAUAACAGUUUUAUAGACAACUUGUUGACUAUGAUUUGUCUUGUAGCUUACUCGCUUAUGUUAGUUUUACCUACGCUUAGGAUGUUGACAGCAGUAUAGACUGU
rnacentral:rRNA from 1 species